rnacentral:lncRNA from 1 species
UUACAGUGAUAUGUAGUGAAGUUUAGCAUUUGAUAGUUCAUUGAUAACAUUCUGGCGUAUCAUAAACAAACAACUUGUAACGUCUCAUUUCAUUGGCCGAAAGAUUUAAAUACAACAGCAAUGUAGUCAGUUUGCACGUGAAUUGACACAGGUGACCGACAAUGGAAUUUACUAGUAUAUGUUACUACGAACGUAAAAACAAUGAUUUGUAUAGUUUACAAACCUUUGGCCAAAAGAUUUAAAUAAAUGUUUUGUUAACUUCAAAUAGUGGGGUCGAAAUAGUAUACUGAUAUUCUAAGUUCUUUAUGCAUGCAGCAACUCAAUUAUCUUGUACCCGGCAUGAUGAGAAAUAUAAGGAUAAAAUAAAAUACAUGUGCCGCUUUUAUACGGAUGAAUAAAUGAACCACUUUUAAUUUCUUUCAUACCUACGAUAGGUUAUUAUCCUUACAAUGUCGUAGUCACUUAUAAAGUAUUUCAUAAUACUGAUUCCGCUUUACAAUAAUUAAUGAUGGGUUGCACUGACAUUCCUCUUUUAUUAUUUUCAUGCUAAAAACACACACAGUAGCUACCAUAAAAGGAGGAAGUUGUCCCCCAAAGAUAGAAACAAAAUAACUCUAAUCGUAUCAUUUGUGCACCUGAAUGAAUUCAGUGAAGAUUAUUUCUUUCGCAUAUUUGAAACAAAAUAAAUAUUAAUACUUGUGAGAAAUGUGGUAGUUUAUAAGGAACAACUCCCGUUUGAAUUGUUUUACAUUAUUAUUUCGGGGCCUUUUAUAGCUGACUAUGCGGUAUGGGCUUUGCUCAUUAUUGAAAGCUGUACGGUGACCUAUAGUUGUUAAUUUCUGUGUCAUUUGUGUCUCUUGUGGAGAGUUGUCUCAUUGGCAAUCAUACCACAUCUUCUUUUUUUUUUACAUAUAUAUUAAAUGUACUGUUUUCGAUUAUGAAAUGGUGAAUAUUUAUUUUUUAAAUUUAUACUAAGAAUAGAGUUGCAUAACAUUGUUGAACAAUCCGCUAAAGUAUAUGUAGUAUGUAUUCGUAUUUAAAAUAAAAUACAAAACGAAACGUGCAUGAUAUACUGAUAAAAAAAAUAUCAAGAAAUUAAGGAUGACUAAAUGUAUGUACAAGAUGAAACUCACCUUUUUAUAACUACAUUUAAAUGAUUUAAUGAAUACAUACAUUGUUUGUUUCUAUUUACAUAGAUAUAGGAAGAUGUGGUGUGAGUGCCAAUAAGACAACUCUCCAUCCAAAUAACAAUUUAUAAAAGUAAACCAUUAUAGGUCAAUGUGCGGCCUUCAAUACGGAGCCUUGGCUCACACUGAACAACAACCUAUAAAGGGCCCCAAAAUUACUAGUGUAAAACCAUUCAAUCGGGAAAACCAAGGGUUUAAUAUCUACAAUAUAUAAUUUACGUUCGUUUUUCAACCGAGAAUAGCAAAACCUCAUGAAUUAUAUCGUUUGUAUAAACUUCAUUUAAUUAUCCGCUGUGCCAUGAUUGGCCAUCUCCAUUUUUUCUUAACAAAGCGUGUUACAUGUUAUGAAUUUACUUACAAUUUCGAGAUUUAAUUUUUUUCUUCAAGUUAAUGGAAUCAGAAAAAAAAUCACUAUUCUAUGAAGAAUACCUAAAACUUGGCAAAUAAUAUGAAAAGUGUUUGUAGUAAAGUAUACAGUUUCAUUUUUCAAGUACAUGUCAACGUUAAUUCAUCGAGUCCAUUGAGUAUAGGACAAGGCAGGAUAAGCAACUUGGUUGUGUCAAUGAAAAAAAAAUGUGAAUUGAGUUUUUUUUUAUCCUACAUCAAACUUUUGAUGUCGUCCCUUGAUUUAUAAGAGGAGAUAUUUAAAUUUAAUAUUUUAACUGUUAAGAUUUUAAAGUUUAAACUUUACUACCAAUUAAUUGCAGAAAAUUAUAAAACAAAUGAAUUUCACAUGCACUGCACAUUAAUAAAGCUAGAAUUGUGAUUAGAAUCAUGUAUGCGAAUACGACGAUAGAAGCUUUAGACGACCUUGACCACCUACGUGAAUAUUAAUCAGUCCAUUCAACGUUAAAGUACGUGUGUUCUAUUUUUGCAGGUGUAAGGUAGAAGGUUUGAAUUGACCAAUGAAAACAAUCGUUCCUUAGAGAGUUAAUCUAAUAAAGUUUGUUUGUCUGAUUAUGUCGCACGACCCUUCGCGAAGCUUGACCGCAGUUGGGUAUA